rnacentral:lncRNA from 1 species
CUUCUUGGAAGCCUGUAGUUACAUAUGGCUAAAAGUAAAUUGAUCCAUAAUUCACAUACAGGAUCUAUUUACAUAAGAGAAGAGCUGACAUACCUAAAAUACAAGAAAAUAGAUAAUUGACUCUUUUCUUUGCUCAUUUGUACAAAUGUUUUCUGCCAAUUUCUGCAAAAUGGCAGUUGGCUUAGCUGACCCAUCAUGACCAUGGGAUACAAUUUUCUCUUCACAUUGUGGUUCAACAGAAAUUACAUCUUCUACUUGGUCUAAAAGCUCAACCAAUGCCUGAAAUAGGAUAUAUAAGCCUACAAAACACAGAGAUUGUCGAAAUAUGAUUGCACACCUUCUGCAUAACAUGGGGUUAGAAAUGACUAACAAAUGUUAAUGAUUACAUUAGCUGAAAAUACCAGAGCAGUCAAAGACCAUUUUGUGUAGCCUGGAACCAAGCUAAUCAGUGGCUUCAUUAGGAUCGACUGCGUUGGCAGG